AUGAACGCUGGCGGCGUGCCUAAUACAUGCAAGUCGAGCGAACAGACGAGGAGCUUGCUCCUCUGACGUUAGCGGCGGACGGGUGAGUAACACGUGGAUAACCUACCUAUAAGACUGGGAUAACUUCGGGAAACCGGAGCUAAUACCGGAUAAUAUAUUGAACCGCAUGGUUCAAUAGUGAAAGACGGUUUUGCUGUCACUUAUAGAUGGAUCCGCGCCGCAUUAGCUAGUUGGUAAGGUAACGGCUUACCAAGGCGACGAUGCGUAGCCGACCUGAGAGGGUGAUCGGCCACACUGGAACUGAGACACGGUUCAGACUCCUACGGGAGGCAGCAGUAGGGAAUCUUCCGCAAUGGGCGAAAGCCUGACGGAGCAACGCCGCGUGAGUGAUGAAGGUCUUCGGAUCGUAAAACUCUGUUAUUAGGGAAGAACAAAUGUGUAAGUAACUAUGCACGUCUUGACGGUACCUAAUCAGAAAGCCACGGCUAACUACGUG
rnacentral:rRNA from 1 species